UACAGAGGGUGCGAGCGUUAAUCGGAAUUACUGGGCGUAAAGCGCGCGUAGGCGGCUUUGCAAGUCGAGUGUGAAAUCCCCCAGGCUUAACCUGGGAACUGCAGUCGAGACUGUCUAGCUAGAGUAUGGGAGAGGGAAGUGGAAUUUCAGGUGUAGCGGUGAAAUGCGUAGAUAUCUGAAGGAACAUCAGUGGCGAAAGCGACUUCCUGGACCAAUACUGACGCUCAUGUGCGAAAGCGUGGGGAGCAAACAGG
rnacentral:rRNA from 1 species